rnacentral:rRNA from 1 species
UCGGAUUUACUGGGCGUAAAGGGCGCGUAGGCGGAAAUUCAAGUCAUCUGUGAAAUCUCCGGGCUUAACUCGGAACUGUCAGAUGAUACUGCUUUGCUAGAGUGCAGAAGGGGCAAUCGGAAUUCUUGGUGUAGCGGUGAAAUGCGUAGAUAUCAAGAGGAACACCUGAGGUGAAGACGGGUUGCUGGGCUGACACUGACGCUGAGGCGCGAAAGCCAGGGGAGCAAACGGG